rnacentral:rRNA from 1 species
CGAAAGCCUGACGGAGCAAGACCGCGUGGGGGAGGAAGGCUCUAGGGUUGUAAACCCCUUUUCUCAGGGAAGAAGCUCCGACGGUACCUGAGGAAUCAGCCUCGGCUAACUCCGUGCCAGCAGCCGCGGUAAUACGGAGGAUGCAAGCGUUAUCCGGAAUGAUUGGGCGUAAAGCGUCCGCAGGUGGCAAUGUAAGUCUGCUGUCAAAACCCAGGGCUCAACUCUGGUCAGGCAGUGGAAACUGAAUAGCUAGAGUGCCGUAGGGGUAGAGGGAAUUCCCGGUGUAGCGGUGAAAUGCGUAGAGAUCGGGAAGAACAUCGGUGGCGAAAGCGCUCUACUGGACGGCAACUGACACUCAGGGACGAAAGCUAGGGGAGCG